UUAGACACAGAAACGUGGAGGCAUAGGUGUUGGCAGUUGUGUAUUUCCUUGAAUUUGUUUUUAAUAAUCUUAGUAAUGUUCUCUCUCUUCAGUCCGGACGGUUGUUUCCUGGCGGCGGGAUCAGCAGACGGCGCCGUUUACAUCUGGAACGUCUCCACCGGCAACCUGGAGACCCGCCUACCUGACAAACACCGUUCGCCCAUCAGUGCCGUGUCCUGGUCUCUGUCCGGAGAAUAUGUUGUCAGUGUGGACAAGAGUAGGCGGGCCGUCCUCUGGAGUGACAUCUGAACCAGCCAAUCCACGACGAGGUCAUGUUUGCACACGUUCUGAUGCCAUAUUU